rnacentral:lncRNA from 1 species
AAAACCACCACAAACCAUGAUCGGGCUGACUCACACGCGACUGGAGAAUAAACAAACAGCAACAUAAGGAAAUAACUCGAGGGUUGUUUUUAAUGAUUCCCAUGUGGGGAAGUCCGCCAGUAUUGGGAGGGCUGGGUGCCCUUGGAGGAAAUGGGUUUUGUUACAUAAAGCUGGGUCCUUGUGGAAGCAACAGCACGUUGGGAAAGUUGGGGGGUCCCAAGGACUCCUGGUGACCUUGGAAAUGCGGUCCAGACCAGUUGAUUGGUGUCUCAUCCAGCUGCAGCCCGCAGACCAACCAAAGUGAUUCCUCGUCAUAUCUCCUGGCCUGGGAACAGUGCCCACUUGAGUAUGUAAAUGUUUACUGAAUAGACGAACGACCCUAAAACCCCUGCCAUGAUGCAUUUGCCGGUCCAACGGGAUCAGCAGUGACCCGG